AGCAGCCGCGGUAAUUCCAGCUCCAAUAGCGUAUAUUAAAGUUGUUGCAGUUAAAAAGCUCGUAGUUGAAUUUCGAGAUCAGUACGCUGGUCGUGCCUUCGGUAUGUACUGGUGUCACUGGUUUCUCCCUUCUGAAGAACCGUUAUGUCAUUAAGUUGGUGUGGCGGGGAAUCAGGACUGUUACUUUGAAAAAUUAGAGUGUUUAAAGCAAGCUAACGCUUGAAUACAUUAGCAUGGAAUAAUGAAAUAGGACGUUCGAUCCUAUUUUGUUGGUUUCUAGGAUUGACGUAAUGAUUAAUAGGGAUAGUUGGGGGCAUUAGUAUUCAAUUGUCAGAGGUGAAAUUCUUGGAUUUAUUGAAGACUAACUACUGCGAAAGCAUUUGCCAAGGAUGUUUUCAUUAAUCAAGAACGAAAGUUAGGGGAUCGAAGACGAUCAGAUACCGUCGUAGUCUUAACCAUAAACUAUGCCCACUAGGGAUCGGAUGAUGUUAAUUUUUUAAUGUACUCUA
rnacentral:rRNA from 1 species